UGAUGAGGAAGCCUAAGGCAAGCUGACAGCCACAAACACCCCACCCCCACCCCAAGGUGGGAUAUAUGUGAUA